CGCGUGAGUAACCUGCCCUGGAGUGGGGGACAACAGUUGGAAACGACUGCUAAUACCGCAUAAGCCCACGGAUUCGCAUGGAUCUGCGGGAAAAGGAUUUAUUCGCUUCAGGAUGGACUCGCGUCCAAUUAGCUAGUUGGUGAGGUAACGGCCCACCAAGGCGACGAUUGGUAGCCGGACUGAGAGGUUGAACGGCCACAUUGGGACUGAGACACGGCCCAG
rnacentral:rRNA from 1 species